UUCCGGUUGAUCCUGCCGGACCCUACUGCUAUCGGGGGAGGACUAAACAUGCAAGUCGUGCGCCUCCAAGCCAUGGUGGAGACGCGGCAUCCGGCUCAGUAACACGUGGCUAACCCACCCUUGAGACGGAGAAAACCCCGGGAAACUGGGGUUAAUCUCCGAUAAGAGAAGACACCUGGAAUGGGUCUUCUCUCAAAGGGCGCCUAGACCAUGCUUUUGGGCGUUGCUCAAGGACGGGGCCGCGGCCGAUCAGGUUGUUGGUGAGGCAACGGCUCACCAAGCCUAUAACCGGUACGGGCCGUGAGAGCGGGAGCCCGGAGAUGGGCACUGAGACAAGGGCCCAGGCCCUACGGGGCGCAGCAGUUGCGAAAACUCCGCAAUGCACGAAAGUGUGACGGGGCUACCCCGAGUGCCGUCCGCUGAGGGCGGCUUUUCCCCGGUGUAAGGAGCCGGGGGAAUAAGGAGAGGGCAAGUCUGGUGUCAGCCGCCGCGGUAAUACCAGCUCUCCGAGUGGUAGGGAUGAUUAUUGGGCUUAAAGCGUCCGUAGCCGGCCCGGCAAGUCUUCCGUUAAAUCCAACGAUUCAAUCGUUGGACUGCAGGAGAUACUGUUGGGCUAGGAGGCGGGAGAGGCCGACGGUAUUCUCGGGGUAGGGGUAAAAUCCUAUAAUCCCGGGAGGACCACCAGUGGCGAAGGCGGUCGGCUAGAACGCGCUCGACGGUGAGGGACGAAAGCUGGGGGAGCGAACCGGAUUAGAUACCCGGGUAGUCCCAGCUGUAAACGAUGCGGGCUAGGUGUUGGGGCGGCUACUGGCCGCUUCAGUGCCGCAGGGAAACCAUUAAGCCCGCCGCCUGGGGAGUACGGCCGCAAGGCUGAAA
rnacentral:rRNA from 1 species